rnacentral:rRNA from 1 species
GAUGAACGCUGGCGGCAUGCCUAAUACAUGCAAGUCGAACGAGAGGAAGGAAAGCUUGCUUUUCUGAAUCUAGUGGCGAACGGGUGAGUAACACGUAGGUAACCUGCCCAUGUGCCCGGGAUAACUUCUGGAAACGGAUGCUAAAACCGGAUAGGUAGCAGACAAGCAUUUGACUGCUAUUAAAGUGGCUAAGGCCAUGAACAUGGAUGGACCUGCGGUGCAUUAGCUAGUUGGUGAGGUAACGGCCCACCAAGGCGACGAUGCAUAGCCGGGCUGGGAGGGCGGACGGCCACAUUGGGACUGAGACACGGCCCAAACUCCUACGGGAGGCAGCAGUAGGGAAUUUUCGUCAAUGGGGGGAACCCUGAACGAGCAAUGCCGCGUGAGUGAGGAAGGUCUUCGGAUCGUAAAGCUCUGUUGUAAGAGAAAAACGACAUUCAUAGGGAAUGAUGAGUGAGUGAUGGUAUCUUACCAGAAAGUCACGGCUAACUACGUGCCAGCCGCCGCUGUAA